CGGACGGGUGAGUAAUGUCUGGGGAAACUGCCUGAUGGAGGGGGAUAACUACUGGAAACGGUAGCUAAUACCGCAUAACGUCGCAAGACCAAAGAGGGGGACCUUAGGGCCUCUUGCCAUCGGAUGUGCCCAGAUGGGAUUAGCUAGUAGGUGGGGUAACGGCUCACCUAGGCGACGAUCCCUAGCUGGUCUGAGAGGAUGACCAGCCACACUGGAACUGAGACACGGUCCAG
rnacentral:rRNA from 1 species